rnacentral:rRNA from 1 species
AUUGAACGCUGGCGGCAGGCCUAACACAUGCAAGUCGAACGGUAACAGGAAGAAGCUUGCUUCUUUGCUGACGAGUGGCGGCCGGGUGAGUAAUGUCUGUGAAACUGCCUGAUGGAGGGGGAUAACUACUGGAAACGGUAGCUAAUACCGCAUAACGUCGCAAGACCAAAGAGGGGGACCUUCGGGCCUCUUGCCAUCGGAUGUGCCCAGAUGGGAUUAGCUAGUAGGUGGGGUAACGGCUCACCUAGGCGACGAUCCCUAGCUGGUCUGAGAGGAUGACCAGCCACACUGGAACUGAGACACGGUCCAGACUCCUACGGGAGGCAGCAGUGGGGAAUAUUGCACAAAGGGCGCAAGCCUGAUGCAGCCAUGCCGCGUGUAUGAAGAAGGCCUUCGGGUUGUAAAGUACUUUAAGCGGGGAGGAAGGGAGUAAAGUUAAUACCUUUGCUCAUUGACGUUACCCGCAGAAGAAGCACCGGCUAACUCCGUG